AUGGCCCGCUACCCCUGCAAUCCACUCCCACACCUCCCUCCUAGCACCACCGUCAUCCCACCUAGUCCGCAUGCUCGUCGAGGCUAUGUUGCCGGCGGCGGUGAACUCCCCAUGGUCUGCGACGAAUGAGCCAUCGCAACGCUCAUCCCCGAGGUCUCUGCAGAGGAAUUCCAUGGUGCCAUCGCCCUCAUCACCAACUACCUUGAAGGUUGGGGUUGGCACAUCAACUACACUUCGCGAUGUGGUAUUGGAACUGCAUUGAUUCAGUUUACCACUGCAUGUUCUAGAGAUACUGCUGUUAGUAGCCGUCCUUUCCAGAUCGGUGACUCUAUUUUGAGGAUCAAUAGGCAAGAUCGAGGUCUGAACUAUCGUAGCAUUACAUUUACUCAUGGUGUUUGGAUCAUGCUCAUGAACUACCCAUUGGAAUGUUAGGAUGUUGCUGUGAUUAGCCGCACUGUUGCUCCAUAUGGAAGGUUUCUGAUUUGGAAUAAGGACCCUAGAGACAAAACCAGAGUUAUUGUUAAGCUCAGAGUUAUGAAUGUCGAUACUAUUCCAAUUAGUUUAGAUGUGCUUCGCAACUUAGAUGAUGUGAUUUAUGGUGAUUCAUGGACAUGCCCUACCUACAUUCUAUCACGUGAGCUCAUUGGGCAGCAGGGAGGAGAUGAAGAUCCUCUCCCACCAGAUGGUGGAAAUCCUCACCCCUUACCACAUGUUCAUGGUGGAUUCUGGCAUGAUGAGGUACUUGGCAACAUUCCUAUGGACCAUGUCGUCAUAAACCCUCACAAUGCUGGGCUUGGGGAACCCUAUGAGGAUGUGCAUGCUCCCAAUAAUGCCAAUGUUGAUCUCAAUGUUGAACUUCCAGGAAAUGAUGUCGAUCUGAAUACAAACAGUAGCUCUAAAACCCAUGUUAUUGCCGAGGAGACUGGACAAAAUGUUAUGACUGAUGAUCAGCAUGUUGCCACUGAUGGAGGAAGGUUAUAUGAUACCAUGGGACCUGAUUUCAUCCCUCUUGAGUCUGAGCAGCAACAACCUACUCCUGCUAGCCCCAGAUUCUUGCCACACAAUGCGGGUAUGAAUUACAAUGACACCCCCUCUUCUAGCACACCUCAGCAUGUUCACACAUGCAACAUCUCUAUUGAGGGCAUCACUGAGCACAUUGCUAUGUUGCAAGAUCUGGUGGGCAACUUGGUUACAAAUGCUAGUGAGAUUAUUCCCAAACUUGGGGGUAGCAAGAUCAUCAAUGCCAAGUGUAAUGUUGUGGAUGUGGUUGGAGAUAAUGGCACUAAUAAAUGA
rnacentral:rRNA from 1 species